AUGGGAAACCAUGUAAUGAGUGAAAGAACAACAUUGGAUCAUUGCUAUAGCAAACAAAUCCACCAGAAGGGAAGGUCAAAUGUUAUAACAGAAGACCCUCUCCAGGUCAAAAAUAAAAUGACGAACUAUCUAAUGAGCACAGAAACAACUUUGGACCAUUACAAUGUCAAACCAUCCAACCAGAAAGGAAGGAAAAAUGUUAAAUUUGAAGACCUUCCUGAGGAUGUGCUUCGCACAAUUUUAUCGAAAUUGCCUGUAAAAGAGGUUUUGAAGACUAGUGCUUUAUCAAGUCAGUGGAGAUAUUCGUGGACUAUCUGUCCCAAAUUAAGUUUCAAUAGUGUUGCCGUACGUGGCGGGAUUAGGCUUGACGAACAAAAAAAUGAACAGCAGAAUUUCAUUGAUGACGUUAGUUUGGUUUUGCAAAAGUAUCAAGGCAAAGAAGUUGAAAAUUUUGAAGUCAAAUAUGCAUUUGACAGCAAGCUGGUUGAUCAUCUCAAUUGCUGGGUUAGUUUUGCUGUGUCGUCACGGAUGAGGAAUCUAGCUUUAGAUCUAGCACCUACCAAAUCUGGGGGUCGUGAUGAUCGUUAUGCGUUUCCGUUUGGACUGUUUGACAGUGAGAGCCUAGCACGUCUUCAGUGCAUUCAACUAAGUUUUGUAUUGUUGAAAUUACCUAUGCAGUUCAGAGGUUUUCCGAACCUGAGAAAGCUAGAUCUGAACUUGCUGCAUGUCACUAGCAAUGAUCUUGAGAAUAUGUUGUCCAAUUGCUACAGUCUCGAGUGGUUGAGCAUUGUAAGAUGCCAUCUGAAUGAUGAACUUAGGGUUGAAAGCCCGAUGUCCCAUCUAUGUACUUGCGAGUUGUGA
rnacentral:rRNA from 1 species